rnacentral:rRNA from 1 species
AUUGAACGCUGGCGGCAUGCCUAACACAUGCAAGUCGAGCGAGCGGCGGACGGGUGAGUAAUGUCUGGGAAACCGCCUGAUGGAGGGGGAUAACUACUGGAAACGGUUGCUAAUACCGCAUACCAUCAGAUGUGCCCAGAUGGGAUUAGCUAGUAGGUGGGGUAAAGGCUCACCUAGUCGACGAUCCCUAGCUGGUCUGAGAGGAUGACCAGCCACACUGUGACUGAGACACGGUCCAGACUCCUACGGGAGGCAGCAGUGGGGAAUAUUGCACAAUGGGCGCAAGCCUGAUGCAGCCAUGCCGCGUGUGUGAAGAAGGCCUUCGGGUUGUAAAGCACUUUCAGCGGGGAGGCGUUACCCGCAGAAGAAGCACCGGCUAACUCCGUGCCAGCAGCCGCGGUAAUUC